UUAAUAUUAUGAAAGGAACAAAAAAAAAACGCAAACACUUUGUCGGGUUUCUUUCACCAAACGCUCUCUUCGUCGUCUCCGUCACCUCCAUCUCCGAUGGUCCCUUUUCCCUCACAACCGGCUUUGUCUCCGUCACCUCUACCGUAAUUCGAAUUUGUCUCCGGCAUCCUCCACGAUAAUUCACCUUCAUCUCUUUCUUACUCGACAAACUCGAAAUCGAUUUCGCCACAGUCACAUCCGGCUUCAGUUGCAAGUUACUCUAAUCUGUUUAAUUUAGCAAAGAGAGCAACAACCUCUGCAAACUCAACUCUUACAAGCACUCUGGAAGACGGUGACAACCAUUCAGGUAGCUGACAAGGAGAAAGGUGUGGUACUUGAAACCACCAAGACAAAGAAACAAAGCAAGCUUAAGCUCUAUGUUAACAAGUCUGUCCUCAAGGAGUUCCCUAUGAUGGCCAAAACUGUUGCCAACCAGGUAUUAAACCUGAUUUGAAGAUGACAACACUUGCUAGGCUCAGCGUGAUCAGAAAAGGCCUCAGAGUCGCCAAGUCUGGUCCCAAGGAGAGGAAGCAGGCUUGAAGAUUUGGCCAUUUACUGAACAUUUUACUUCUGAAAAACCUUUGUUUUGUGAUUUCAGACAAAUUUUUGUAGGUUAUAAAGAUCUUUCAUGCACAGUUCAGUUUCUUGCUUGAAACACCUCCAUUGUUUUGUUUUUUUUUUCUCAGAAUGAUAUUAAAAUUUUAUGGGCA